rnacentral:rRNA from 1 species
GAUGAACGCUAGCGGCAGGCUUAACACAUGCAAGUCGAGGGGUAACAGGGAGAAGCUUGCUUUUCCGCUGACGACCGGCGCACGGGUGCGUAACGCGUAUAGAACCUACCUUUUACAGGGGAAUAGCCCAGAGAAAUUUGGAUUAAUGCCCUAUAGUAUUAUUGAAUGGCAUCAUUUAAUAAUUAAACAUUUAUGGGUAAAAGAUGGCUAUGCGUUCUAUUAGCUAGAUGGUAAGGUAACGGCUUACCAUGGCGACGAUAGAUAGGGGUCCUGAGAGGGAGAUCCCCCACACUGGUACUGAGACACGGACCAGACUCCUACGGGAGGCAGCAGUGAGGAAUAUUGGACAAUGGAGGCAACUCUGAUCCAGCCAUGCCGCGUGCAGGAAGACGGCCCUAUGGGUUGUAAACUGCUUUUAUACGGGAAGAAACCCAACUACGUGUAGUUGGCUGACGGUACCGUAAGAAUAAGCACCGGCUAACUCCGUGCCAGCAGCCGCGGUAAUACGGAGGGUGCAAGCGUUAUCCGGAAUCAUUGGGUUUAAAGGGUCCGUAGGCGGGCUAAUAAGUCAGGGGUGAAAUCCAACAGCUUAACUGUUGAACUGCCUUUGAUACUGUUAGUCUUGAAUUAUAUGGAAGUAGAUAGAAUGUGUAGUGUAGCGGUGAAAUGCUUAGAGAUUACACAGAAUACCGAUUGCGAAGGCAGUCUACUACGUAUAUAUG